rnacentral:rRNA from 1 species
UACGGAGGGGGCUAGCGUUGUUCGGAAUUACUGGGCGUAAAGCGCACGUAGGCGGCUUUGUAAGUUAGAGGUGAAAGCCCGGGGCUCAACUCCGGAAUUGCCUUUAAGACUGCAUCGCUAGAAUUGUGGAGAGGUGAGUGGAAUUCCGAGUGUAGAGGUGAAAUUCGUAGAUAUUCGGAAGAACACCAGUGGCGAAGGCGACUCACUGGACACAUAUUGACGCUGAGGUGCGGAAGCGUGGGGAGCAGACAGG